rnacentral:rRNA from 2 species
ACACAUGCAAGUCGAGCGGAGAUGAGGUGCUUGCACCUUAUCUUAGCGGCGGACGGGUGAGUAAUGCUUAGGAAUCUGCCUAUUAGUGGGGGACAACAUUCCGAAAGGAAUGCUAAUACCGCAUACGUCCUACGGGAGAAAGCAGGGGAUCUUCGGACCUUGCGCUAAUAGAUGAGCCUAAGUCGGAUUAGCUAGUUGGUGGGGUAAAGGCCUACCAAGGCGACGAUCUGUAGCGGGUCUGAGAGGAUGAUCCGCCACACUGGGACUGAGACACGGCCCAGACUCCUACGGGAGGCAGCAGUGGGGAAUAUUGGACAAUGGGGGGAACCCUGAUCCAGCCAUGCCGCGUGUGUGAAGAAGGCCUUAUGGUUGUAAAGCACUUUAAGCGAGGAGGAGGCUACUGAGACUAAUACUCUUGGAUAGUGGACGUUCCUCGCAGAAUAAGCACCGGCUAACUCUGUGCCAGCAGCCGCGGUAAUACAGAGGGUGCGAGCGUUAAUCGGAUUUACUGGGCGUAAAGCGUGGGUAGCCGGCUUUUUAAGUCGGAUGUGAAAUCCCCGAGCUUAACUUGGGAAUUGCAUUCGAUACUGGGAAGCUAGAGUAUGGGAGAGGAUGGUAGAAUUCCAGGUGUAGCGGUGAAAAGCGUAGAGAUCUGGAGGAAUUCCGAUGGCGAAGGCAGCCAUCUGUCCUAAUACUGCCGCUGAGGUCCGAAAGCAUGGGGAGCAAACAGGAUUAGAUACCC